rnacentral:snoRNA from 1 species
GAUUCUGUGAUUAAAACUAUUGAUGUAACUUUUGUGCUGAGGAUGUAUAUGCAGGACAAAUACUUAAGGAAUUCUUCGUUUAUGAAUUGUGAAGUC